GCCUUGUAGCGGGGGAUAACUAUUGGAAACGAUAGCUAAUACCGCAUAACAAUGGGUGACACAUGUCAUUUAUUUGAAAGGGGCAAUUGCUCCACUACAAGAUGGACCUGCGUUGUAUUAGCUAGUAGGUGAGGUAACGGCUCACCUAGGCGACGAUACAUAGCCGACCUGAGAGGGUGAUCGGCCACACUGGGACUGAGACACGGCCCAGACUCCUACGGGAGGCAGCAGUAGGGAAUCUUCGGCAAUGGGGGCAACCCUGACCGAGCAACGCCGCGUGAGUGAAGAAGGUUUUCGGAUCGUAAAGCUCUGUUGUAAGUCAAGAACGAGUGUGAGAGUGGAAAGUUCACACUGUGACGGUAGCUUACCAGAAAGGGACGGCUAACUACGUGCCAGCAGCCGCGGUAAUACGUAGGUCCCGAGCGUUGUCCGGAUUUAUUGGGCGUAAAGCGAGCGCAGGCGGUUUGAUAAGUCUGAAGUUAAAGGCUGUGGCUCAACCAUAGUUCGCUUUGGAAACUGUCAAACUUGAGUGCAGAAGGGGAGAGUGGAAUUCCAUGUGUAGCGGUGAAAUGCGUAGAUAUAUGGAGGAACACCGGUGGCGAAAGCGGCUCUCUGGUCUGUAACUGACGCUGAGGCUCGAAAGCGUGGGGAGCGAACAGGAUUAGAUACCCUGGUAGUCCACGCCGUAAACGAUGAGUGCUAGGUGUUGGAUCCUUUCCGGGAUUCAGUGCCGCAGCUAACGCAUUAAGCACUCCGCCUGGGGAGUACGACCGCAAGGUUGAAACUCAAAGGAAUUGACGGGGGCCCGCACAAGCGGUGGAGCAUGUGGUUUAAUUCGAAGCAACGCGAAGAACCUUACCAGGUCUUGACAUCCCGAUGCUAUUUCUAGAGAUAGAAAGUUACUUCGGUACAUCGGUGACAGGUGGUGCAUGGUUGUCGUCAGCUCGUGUCGUGAGAUGUUUGGGUUAAGUCCCGCAACGAGCGCAACCCCUAUUGUUAGUUGCCAUCAUUCAGUUGGGCACUCUAACGAGACUGCCGGUAUAAACCCGAGGAAAGGGGGGGGAUAAGUCCAAAUCAUCAUGCCCCUUAUAACCCGGGCU
rnacentral:rRNA from 1 species